rnacentral:rRNA from 1 species
UACGGGGGGUGCGAGCGUUGUCCGGAAUCACUGGGCGUAAAGGGCGCGUAGGUGGUCUGAUAAGGGUGUGGUGAAAGCCCGGGGCUCAACCCCGGGUCGGCCGUGCGGACUGCCGGGCUGGAGCACUGUAGAGGCAGGUGGAAUUCCGGGUGUAGCGGUGGAAUGCGUAGAGAUCCGGAAGAACACCGGUGGCGAAGGCGGCCUGCUGGGCAGUAGCUGACGCUGAAGCGCGACAGCGUGGGGAGCAAACAGG